UGCCAUUGUUGAAGAAGAUGAAGAGGAAGACCUUGGCAACUUUGCCAUACAUAGAGGAAUCUGUAAUAAUUGGGUCGCUAUUGAUGUUCCAACAGUUAUCCAUAAGUCAACGUAAUGUGUCCAGUUUGUUUAAAAACCCUUCUCCCAUGCCGAAAGGAGAAGUGAAGACAUUGUUGGUAUAAUUUGAUUAAUACAAUGAUA
rnacentral:lncRNA from 1 species